GAUGAACGCUGGCGGCGUGCUUAACACAUGCAAGUCGAACGGAAAGGCUCCUGCUUGCAGGGGUACUCGAGUGGCGAACGGGUGAGUAACACGUGGGUGAUCUGCCCUGCACUUCGGGAUAAGCCUGGGAAACUGGGUCUAAUACCGGAUAGGACCACAUUUUGGAUGGUGUGGUGGAAAGUUUUUCGGUGUGGGAUGAGCUCGCGGCCUAUCAGCUUGUUGGUGGGGUAAUGGCCUACCAAGGCGUCGACGGGUAGCCGGCCUGAGAGGGUGUACGGCCACAUUGGGACUGAGAGACGGCCCAGACGCCUACGGGAGGCAGCAGUGGGGAAUAUUGCACAAUGGGCGCAAGCCUGAUGCAGCGACGCCGCGUGGGGGAUGACGGCCUUCGGGUUGUAAACUCCUUUCGCUAGGGACGAAGCGCAAGUGACGGUACCUGGAGAAGAAGCACCGGCUAACUACGUG
rnacentral:rRNA from 1 species